CCUGCCUAUGCAGGGGGUCGGACUCGAUGAUCUAUUGAGGUCCCUUCCAACCCUAACAUCUAUGAAUCUAUGAACUAAUGAACCCACUGCAUAACCUGUCCCUCAGCAGGACAGCACAGCCAACACUUGCCAGCGAGAGGUUCUUUUCCACAGAGUGCACUGCAUCUACAGUCAUAAAAGGUCAAUCAAAGCCUCACAGCUUAACCCUAAAAUCUCUGCAUGUUCCAGCUGAUGCUGCACACAAAAGUAAAGCCACAAAGCUCAGUUUCAUGUCAUAACUCCCUGCAAACUGGGAUUUGACUCUAGGCCAUCACUAGCAAAUAACCCAACAACACACAAGGCAGCCCGGCCCCAGCACUGACUCACUCUUUGCAAACGUUAAUGCACAAGAGAGUCACAGCAGAUAUGAAAGGUAGUCUCAUUUCCCAACAAGCUUCAAAUCAAUUGUUGCCAAAGUUAAGAAGCCCUCCCCCUUUCACAACAUGGUACAAAGUUGCAACUGCUGCUGGAGGCUGGACACCUGGGCGGGCACAGUAAUUUUCUGACUGAUUACAGUAAAUCUAUCAUGAGUAACAGAGGCUUCAAGAUGGAGAAUUAUACAGCUCUUGAAGGGGAAUCAAUUAUUAAAUUAGAAUUAAGUCCUAAUUAAAAGCUAUGGAAGAGGCAGUUGGUUGAUGGUGUCUUUAAGUAACAACUAAUUUCAAAGUCCAUUUCUGUCAUUGAUUUAUGAACAGGAAGUUCAUUUUAUCUGAAUUAGCACCAAGUUUGCAACCCACCACCAUUAAGCUGGGGCCUAAACAGACACAAGUUUAAAAAAAACACACUGGCAGAGCCUGGCACUCCAUUAAGCCAAUUAACAUGCCUUCAAUGAGAUAUGAGGGGGCUUCUCCUAUUUUCCAGUUUAUUAGCCAAUUGUGUGCAGAUUCUGAGUGCAGCACUAACAAAAGCCUGUGUGGGCUGGCACAGCUCCUCUCAUUAGCGACACCGCAGGAGUAUCUGUAGGUGCCACAGGAAGAGAGGAGAGGAAAAAAAAUACAAGACAAGACAGGCCACUGCAUCCAACCUCCAUGAGCAUUAGCAGCAGGUCUCAUUUUCCAACCCUUUUGCUUCAGUGUUUAUAAUCCUCAUAACAUAUCUUUAUCAUUUCACACAGCCCAGCUGAGAGACGGUAGCUGAAAAUCACCUUUACAUCCUGCCUGAGACCGUUAUAAAAAAUGAUCCCACAGCAGUAAGGACAGAAUCAUUAAUGCUGGUGUCACAGUUGAAUCCCACCUUGGAACUUUUGCCAGUGUCAUCCACUUCCCCUCCAAGCAUUUUGCCGUACACCAUUCAAGAGGAGUUCCGUGUUACCAAAGAAGCGGCUGCUUUUCAGAGGUAUGGCAGACAAAAGAAGCGGGCAGUUACCCCAGAAGCAGGGUGGCCAGCAAAGACCUGAUGAGGAGGCACCCUGUUACAGUUUGGAAGAAUAAAAUUUUACUUGUCAUCAGGGAUGUACUUUGCCUUUCUACUUUGUUCCCCUGAGCAGUGAAACUAGAUCCAUCAAUUCCAUUUCUUUAUAGUCACUCACUUUCUGCUUCUAGUGCUCUACCUACUCUCCACCUAGAACACAACACAAAAAGCAAAAAGAAAAACACCCCAUGCUCCAAAAUUUCUUCCUGUCCCCAUAUCUAAGUGAAGGCAUAAGCCCCAAGGAGAUCAA